AAGACCCUAGGGAUCUUUUGUAAAGAAAAAAGAAGGGAGGCCGCUAGGGAGCAAAACCCUAGCGCCGCCUCCUAUUCACCACCUAACCCCCGCCCUUUUUACAGUCCCGUCCCAUCUUAAACAACUGGUGGUGUGAAGAGAGAAGGCAAAACAUUCAGUGCAUCGUCCUCCUCUCCAGAAAAUUGGGCCAAACGAACCUUUAAUGUUGGGAGUUGGAGCAUAAAGGCUUCCUAAUCCAUCGCUUGUGCCUCGGUUGCACCCACAAAAGGUCAAGACCAGCCCCUUGUUGGACCAAAGGCCUAAUAGGAUCUUUAUGCAAUUAAGAUCUAGUCCGAGAAGAAAAAAAUAAUAAUAGCGAGGCGCGCAGAAGGCCCAGCCAUGGGUGAAAAUGGCCACUAGGGGCUUGGUACGCCCCUAGUUUAAAUUGAUUUCCAUAUAUGUAUGAUCCUAUAUGUAUGUAAUUAUGUGUAUGCAACUCAUAUUAUAGUGGAAAA